rnacentral:RNase_P_RNA from 1 species
UUAGCAGGCUUAUCUUAUCGACUUAUAUUAAGUAGGAAAGUCCGAACACCAAAGAGUAAUCAUAGCGGAUAACAACCGUCCAACGUAAGUUGAGGACCAGUGCAACAGAAAGAAUGUACAGUUAGGCUGUAGUGAAACCAGGUAAACUCUAUGAGGUGCAAUGUCAUGUAUAUUAGAGCUUGAGGGCUACUCGCUCGAUUCUAAAGGGUAGGCAGAUCGAUUCUAAGAGUAAUUUUAGAACUAGAUAAAUGAUAAGAACCUUUUUUAAGGUAACAGAAUUCGGCUUAUUAGCCUGCUAUUUUA